rnacentral:rRNA from 2 species
CCUACGGGGGGCUGCAGUAGGGAAUAUUGCGCAAUGGAGGGAACUCUGACGCAGCGACGCCGCGUGAGCGAUGAAGGUCUUCGGAUCGUAAAGCUCUGUCCUUGGGGAAGAAGGGAGCCGUAAGGCUUCUUGACGGUACCCAUGGAGGAAGCCCCGGCUAACUACGUGCCAGCAGCCGCGGUAAUACGUAGGGGGCAAGCGUUGUCCGGAAUUAUUGGGCGUAAAGGGUGCGUAGGCGGCCCUUUAAGUCAGAUGUGAAAGCCCACGGCUUAACCGUGGGACUGCAUUUGAAACUGGAGGGCUUGAGUGUCGGAGAGGGCAGUGGAAUUCCCAGUGUAGCGGUGGAAUGCGUAGAUAUUGGGAGGAACACCAGUGGCGAAGGCGACUGCCUGGACGAUAACUGACGCUGAGGCACGAAAGCUAGGGGAGCAAACAGGAUUAGAUACCCGUGUAGUC